rnacentral:rRNA from 1 species
CGACCACACCGCCCUGAACGCGCCUGAUCCCGUCUGACCUCGGAAGCUAAGCAGGGUCGGGCCCGGUCAGUACUUGGAUGGGAAAAAGACCAUUUUUUAUAUGCAGGUUUCAUAUUGU